rnacentral:rRNA from 1 species
AUGCGAACUGCAUACUGCUUUGAACAUCGACAUCUUGAACGCAUAUUGCGGCCACGGGUUAGCCUGUGGCCACGCCUGUCCGAGGGUC